rnacentral:rRNA from 1 species
CAGAACGAACGCUGGCAGCAUGGAUAGGCAUGCAAGUCGAACGGGAGCAGCAAUGCUCCAGUGGCGCAAGGGUGAGGAACACGUGAACAACCUGCUUCGAGUUGGGGAUAGCUUCUGGAAACGGGAGAUAAUACCGAAUAACAUCGCCGGAUCGCAUGAUCUGGUGAUCAAAGCAGCAAUGCGCUUGAAGAGGGGUUCGCGUCCCAUUAGCUAGUUGGUGAGGUAACGGCCCACCAAGGCGAUGAUGGGUAGCUGGUCUGAGAGGACGAUCAGCCACAUUGGGACUGAGAUACUGCCCAGACUCCUACGGGAGGCUGCAGUCGAGAAUUUUGGGCAAUGGACGAAAGUCUGACCCAAGCAAUGCCGCGUGCGGGAUGAAGGUCUUCGGAUUGUAAACCGCUGUCAAGAGGGACGAAAUUUGACGGUACCUCUGGAGGAAGCCACGGCUAACUACGUGCCAGCAGCCGC